rnacentral:lncRNA from 1 species
GGGCUCCGCGGAGCCUCUUGGGCCCUCCGGUGCUUGUGUCGGUCUCUAGGCCUGGAUCUACGUCGGGCUGUGGCUCUGUCUCGGAGCCCAUCUCCGUGGAGCUCUCUGUCCACCUCGGGCUCUGGCGUGCGGCCGGCUGUCGGGCCGCGGUCCGGCCCCUGGCCUGGGGCGCCAUCUCGUGGGCACUUGGGGAGUUGUCGCGGCUCGCGGACCGGACCAGCGACAGGUUUGCUUUGGGCGGGGAGCUGCGGCAGGUACCCAGAGGAGGGGCGGGGGUGCUUCGGGGUGGGAGUGGGUGUGCGGUGGGCGAGCAAAUCUGAGCCUCCGGGAGUCCAAAGGAGCUCCAAGAGCAAAUCGGAAUCCCAGAAUCCGACACUAGCGUCAACGUAUCCACUGAGGGGUGACCCGGCUGCCGUCCCGAGGGCGCUCCCCCGGGGAGUGCCCAGAGAGGACCCAGAGCUCGGCUUCCCUUCCCAUUGCCCUCUUCUUCGCCGGGCGCGCCAGGGUCUCCCCUCUGCUGGCCCGUCCCUGGAACACGGGGCCUCCCGGCCGGCCCCUGCCUGCUGGGCGGGUGCCCCAGACUUUGAGAUCGAGGAUGGCGAAGGAGAGGAAAGAGUGGGAUUGGAUUUCAGACGUGCGGCGAGACGCCGGAAGAAGCGAACGCGCCCCUGCUCUUCGAAUGUUAGAGGAGUUUUGAGCCCAAAGCGACCUCGAAUAAGCACACUGUCCACGAGGGAUUCUACUUGAGCUAAGGAAGGGGCCUCUCGGGCCCGCCCCGUUCCGGGACUGACCCUUCACUGUGCUGCCUGAGGAAGGUCAGAGACAGCCAAGCAGUAGCCCCCCCGCUAGGGCCCGGGACAGCCUUCUCGGCCCUUUCACUCUCUCACUGGCCAAGGCCCUCGCCGCUUCAGCGUGGCCGGGGUCCGGCUCCCCCCCUGGGAGAGGCGGGCUUGACUCUCAUUCCAGGGUGUUUGGAAGCCUGGAUACUGUCCAUUGCACCUCCACCUUCGCCCUUCCUUCAUCUCACCGUUCCUGAUGUUCCUGGUGAGUUGGAGACCCAUCCUCCCAACCCAACCCCCUCCCCUGCAGUGCUCUAGGUGGGUAGGCUGUGUGCCCGGCCGGGGUGCACGGACUGGGAAGGAGGUGGGGGCUCAGUGCCGCAGAGAUGGAUAGACCCGAGGGUGGGUUACAGGGACCGUCCCUCUCCCACUCCUUCCCGCUGCCAAAAUUAGGGCUGGAGGGGGCCUGGGUGGCUCAGAGUUUGAGCGUCUGCCUUUGGCUCAAGGCGCGAUCGGUCCCGGGGCGGCGGGGGGGGGGGGGGGAGGGGGGGCGGGAUCCAGUCCGGCAUCCGGCUCCCUGCUAGGAGCCUGCUUCUCCCUCUGCCUGUGUCUCUGUGUCUCUCAUGAAUAAAUAAAUAAAUCUUUAAAAAAAAUUGGGGCUGGAGACACCUGUUGGCUGGGUAAAGCAGAGAUGAGCUCAAAGGCUAGGGGUAGGAGGCAGCUGUCCCGGCAGGAGUGGGCCUCGGGGAAGGACAUGUCUAAUGGAUACCGACCCAGCGGGAUUCCCAGAGAUACCGCGGCCGAGCCCUUUAUUAUGCCAGGGGAAACUGAGGCAGGAAUGGAAGUAGUCUAUUGACCCACACUCUCUCCACCCCCAAGAGAGAUCUAGGUGAGUUACACGGGAGAACUCUCAGGUUACAUUCUGCUACUCUAGGCAACAGCCCUGACAAGGUGAAAUGUUUCUUUUCUCUUCUUUUCCUUUCUAAGGAAUCUCUACACCCACCAUGGGGCCCUAACUCCGGAGCCGAGGUCAAGAGUCGCACGCUCUAGCUCUACGGACUGAGCCAGCCAGGCGGCCCGAGAAUGGUCUCU